GUAAUUUUGUCCCUCCUGAUAACCCAAUUCAUCCAUUUUUUUUAACCUCACGUUACCUUACACCCCACCCGUGUGAUUAUGCCCCACAAAAAUAAUAAAAUUUUAAUAAAUUCCUAAUAUUUUCUUAUCCUAACAAAUUUUAUCACAACACAUCACUACCCCAUACCACCUCACUACCAUACUCCUCGUAUUUUAUUCCACUUUGUUGAGGACCUCACCAUUUCCAUUGAUAUACAAGACAACAUUCACAUGGGGGGACCCACAUCAUUAUUAUUAUUAUAUUCUCACCAUAGAAAAUACAUACAGAAAGAAAGGGAACAAUUCUCCAUCAUCAUCAUCAAUAUUCCCCUUCACAAGAUAUACCAACACAUAGGCUUUCCAUCACCAUAUUCACAUAUAGAGCACACACAGAUCUCUCAGAUAACACUCACCAGUGACAUUAAUAUGCAGAGACGCGAAAGAAAGAAUAGAUUAUAGAGGGAGAAGAUGACAACAAAGAGAGGAGAGGCAAAGAGGAUGUGAGAAAGAGAAUAGAUUAGAGAAAGGGGAUAUUAGUCACCACCGUUAAGCUCGCCGAAGCUCCGGCGAUGCAACAACAGUCACUGGAGAACUCCACUGGUAGCAAGUCCGGCGACCAAAGCCUCACGGAAUCCCAAAACUCCAUCACCAUCGGCAAAAUUCGCCGAUAAAAUCCCGUUAACCACCACUCCAGUCAGCUCAAAUCACCGGCGAACAAAUGCAUGGCAGUUCGUCCAGCUCCCCUUCUCAUGACCCACAUAAAAAUACAGAGAGAAAAUGGGUCUGGGUAAAUAGAAUUUGGAGUCGAGAUUUUCUAAUUGGGUUUUGAUGUCAAGGUUCGUUGGUUCAUGUGCUCUGAUCCAUCGCUAAUUGUUCGAAAUAAAAUUAAGGAACACAUGUCACCUUCAAAUCAAGGAUUUCAAAGCCAAAACAUCAAGGCCCCUAAUUUCUUGCUUUGACAAAUGUAGGAAGCAAUGUUGCUGCACAGGUUUGAUAAUUAAAUCAUGGUAAAAAUUCAUCAUCUUAUAUCCCUCGGAAACACACUUUCUUGUCCAGGGAUUUUAGUUUUAAUUUGCUGGGUGAUACACUUCUUAAAUUGAACCUUCACUCCUAGAAGACGUACCUUCUAGUCCAGUCAUUUCCUUUGACUCUUAGAAGACGUACCUUUUAGUCGAGUCAUCCCCCUUGAUUCCUAUAAGACGUACCUUUUAGUCGAGUCAUUAUCCUUGAUUCCUAUAAGACAUACCUUUUAGUCGAGUCAUUUUAUUUGAUUCCUAUAAGACGUACCUUUUAGUCGAGUCAUUCCCUUUGAUUCCUAGAAGAUGUACCUUUUAGUCAAGUCAUCCCCCUUGAUUCCUAGAAGACGUACCUUUUAGUCGAGUCAUUCCUCUUGACCCCUAUAAGACGUACCUUUUAGUCGAGUCAUCCCCUUGAUUCCUAUAAGAUGUACCUUUUAGUCGAGUCAUCUCCCCUUGACCCCUAGAAGACGUACCUUUUAGUCGAGUCAUCUCCCCUCGACCCUUAGAAGAUGUACCUUUUAGUUGAGUCAUUCCCCUUGAACCCUCGAAUACGUACUUUUUAGUCGAAUCAUCUCCCUUGAUUCCUAUAAGAUGUACCUUUUAGUCGAGUCAUUCCCCUUGAUUCCUAUAAAAUGUACCUUUUAGUCGAGUCAUCCCCCUUGAUUCCUAUAAGACAUACCUUUUAAUUGAGUCAUUCCCCUUGAUUCCUAUAAGACGUACCUUUUAGUCGAGUCAUUCCCCUUGAUUCCUAUAAGAAGUACCUUUUAGUCGAGUCAUCCCCCUUGAUUCCUAUAAGACGUACCCUUUAUUCGAGUCAUCUCCCUUGAUUCCUAUAAGACGUGCCUUUUAUUUGAGUCAUCCCCCUUGAUUCCUAUAAGACGUACCCUUUAGUCGAGUCAUCUCCCUUGAUUCCUAUAAAGCGUGCCUUUUAGUCGAGUCAUUCUCCUUGAUUUCUAUAAGGCGUACCUUUUAGUCUAGUCAUUAUCUUUGAUAACUAUAAUGAUGCGACUUUCACAAAAGUCCUUUGAUGAUAAACUAGGGCAAAAUUUAAUUCUUGUGUUUGGAACUUCACUUUUCUGGCAAGUGAAAUCUCUUUAUAAUAAUCUUUGUUUGGGAUAAUUUUCUUUUUAGUUUUGAUGUGAUUUCAGGAGCCCUCCUGAUGAACGUGGUGAAUAAAAUGAAAGUCAAGAAACAAAGUGAAGAAAUUGAAAGACAACAUAUGGAAAUAGCUAGUCAGGAGCCCGCCUGAAGAACGGGGUGAUGAAACGGCAAGCCAGGAGCCUGCCUGAAGAAUAGGGUGAUGAAAUUGUAAGUUAAGAGUCUGCCUGAAGAACAGGGUGAAUAACUGAAAAGUCAAGCAACAUGAGGAAGAAAUUGAAAACCAAGCAACAAAUUGAAGAAAUUGCAAGUCAGGAGCCCGCCUGAAGAACAGGAUGAUAAAAUAGCAAGUCAAGAGUCAAAGAAACUGCAUAGAUAGGAUUUCUGUAAUUUCUUUUAAGUUUUAACUUAUAAUUUUCAUUUUUGAUGUAGUGAUAGAGCCACGGACUGGAACCUCGACGGGACCUCACUCGACUCUCCAACUCGGUUGUCCUUCUUCCUUUUGUUUCUUUCUUUGAAUAAUGGUCGGGUCAAAUUCUGUCUCAUUGUCUACUUCUUUGUAUGAAAAUACUUUGUAUUUACAUGCAAAGAGAGGCAUGAUGUAGACACGUAAUUUUGUCCCUCCCGAUAACCUAAUUCAUCCAUUUUUUUAACCUCACGGUACCUUACACCCCACCCGUGUGAUUAUGCCCCACAAAAAUACAAAAAUAAUAAAAUUUUAAUAAAUCCCUAAUAUUUCCUUAUCCUAAAACUUCAUCACAACACAUCACUACCCCAUACCACCUCACUACCCUACCCUUCAUAUUUUAUUCCACUUUGUAAACAAAUUAACAAAAAAGACAAACAAAGGACCUCACCAUUUCCAUUAAUAUACAAGACAACAUUCACAUGAGGGGACCCACAUCAUUAUUAUCAUUAUAUUCCCACCAUAGAAAAUACACACAGAAAGAAAGGGAACAAUUCCUCAUCAUCAUCAUCAAUAUUCCCCUUCACAAGAUAUACCAACACAUAGGCUUUUCAUCACCAUAUUCAUAUAUAGAGCACACAUCACCAUAUUCACACAUAAAGCAUACACAGAUCUCUCAGAUAACACUCACCAGUGACAUUAACACGUAGAGACGCGAAAGAGAGAAUAGAUUAGAGAAGGAGAAGAUGACAACAAAGAGAGGAGAGGCAAAAAGAACGUGACAGAGAGAAUAGAUUAGAGAAAGGGGAAAUUAGUCACCACCGUUAAGCUCGUCGGAGCUCUGGCAAUGCAAUAAUAGUUAUCAAAGAACUCCACUGGCAGGAAAUUCGAUGACCAAAACCUCACGGAACCCUAAAAAUCCAUCACUACCAGCAAAAUACGCCAGUUAAAUCACGUUAAACACCACUCCAAUCAGCUCGAAUCGCUGGUGAACCAACAAGCACAUGGCAGUUCGUCCAGCUCCUCUUCUCACGACCUACAUAAAAAUACAGAGAGAAAAUGGGUCUGGGUAAAAAGAAUUCGGAGUCGAGAUUUAUGAAUUGGGUUUCGACGUCGAGGUUAAAUUUUGGUCGAGGUUCAUUGAUUCGUGUGCUCCAAUCCAUCGCUAAUUGUUCGGAAUAAAAUUGAGGUCCAUUUCUUAUCUCGUUCUUGAUUAAUCUUUAUCGUUUGAUGCCUUAUGUGUGAAAUUGGUGAUGGGUGUAAGCCUUGUUUUGUUUGAUAAUGAUCUGUUUGAAUCAUCAUAAGUGUUUGUUGAUAUCGAUUUAUUAUUUGAGGUGAAUAAUUAUAUGAUUGAGAAUCGAGUAA